GGACUACUCGGGUAUCUAAUCCUGUUUGCUACCCACGCUUUCGCGUCUCAGCGUCAAUAUCGGUCCAGAGAGCCGCCUUCGCCACCGGUGUUCCUCCUGAUAUCUACGGAUUUCACUCCUACACCAGGAAUUCCACUCUCCUCUCCCGUAUUCAAGUCUGCCAGUUUCCAAUGCACUUCCCGGGUUGAGCCCAGGGCUUUCACAUCAGACUUAACAAACCGCCUACACGCGCUUUACGCCCAAUAAAUCCGAACAACGCUUGCACCCCCCGUAUUACCGCGGCGGCUGGCAC
rnacentral:rRNA from 1 species